rnacentral:rRNA from 1 species
UGGGGAAUAUUGGACAAUGGGCGCAAGCCUGCUCCAGCCAUGCCGCGUGAGUGAUGAAGGCCCUAGGGUUGUAAAGCUCUUUCACCGGUGAAGAUAAUGACGGUAACCGGAGAAGAAGCCCCGGCUAACUUCGUGCCAGCAGCCGCGGUAAUACGAAGGGGGCUAGCGUUGUUCGGAUUUACUGGGCGUAAAGCGCACGUAUGCGGACUAUUAAGUCAGGGGUGAAAUCCCGGGGCUCAACCCCGGAACUGCCUUUGAUACUGGUAGUCUUGAGUUCGAGAGAGGUGAGUGGAAUUCCGAGUGUAGAGGUGAAAUUCGUAGAUAUUCGGAGGAACUCCAGUGGCGAAGGCGGGUCGCUGGGUCGAUACAGACGCUGAGAUGCGAAAGCGUGGGGAGCAAACAGG